CCGUACAGGCUGAUUAUGAGGAGUAAUGCCUGAACCCUUGUCAGGCUAAGCGGGAAGCCCCCCUCGAGAUUAGGUUUCUCUGGACCUUUAAGGUCCCUAAAGGGUCGUUGUAGACCACAACGUUGAUAGGCGGGGUGUGGAAGUGCAGUAAUGCAUUAAGCUAACCCGUACUAAUUGCCCGUGAGGCUUGAUCAU
rnacentral:rRNA from 1 species